CACAGACUUUCCUGCCGGGGACUGGUCUUGAACCAGUCCUCGGGAUCUCAGCCUCUUGAGUAGCUAGGAUUACCAGUGUCAGCCACCAGUUUCUGGCCUUCCCCCUCCAAUAAUUUUGUGAACAAACUGACACUAGACUUGUUUUCUCGUACACACCCUAUAUUGAAAAAAAUUUUUUAAAGUAUAUCCUGGGAGGAAACGAAACUAAACAGUUGAGUAACUGUUGAACCUCAAAACUAAAAUGGACUUGUUUCUUCACUAAGCAAAGCAGGCAAAUACUUAAGUGAUAGACAUUACUUAAAUUGCCUGCCCUUUAAAUAUAUGGAUGAGCAAUCUAACUAGAACUGUGACUUAGAAGCAAGUCAUACGUUUAUUUGGUUUUGACUGGAAGUUUCUAUUUGAAUCUCUCAUCCCCGAAUCUUAAACUUCUUAACUUUGAGCAAAGGGAAAUACUCAACCCCCAAGUCCCCCUCCGACUAGUUACUUUAACUCUUUGGAGUUUGCUAGGCAUUGCAAAAGUAUUAGACUAACAGAUUUGGGUGAGGUUCCAUGUGUAUGUCCCAGAAAAAAAAUCUACCAAAGUCUAAAGACAGAUGUUUCCAGUGCUGCUGAGAAGCAACAACAACAACAAUUCUAAUGCAUCUGAGAGAUAAGCUUUUGCAGUAUCACAAGAAGAUUAAAGUGGCAGACACUCCUUCCAGCGGAAGUUACUAAUUCGGACCUGACUGAUGCAGUUACCAUAGCAACCCAUGUUUCCUGGGAAACCCGAAAAAGGUUGUCAUGGCAUCUUUUGCUCUCUAGCCCCACCCCACCUUUCCUGCCCCUGUUGUUUCCACAAAAACCUUUCCAGAUGGUUCCUACUUUAUGUGAUUUCAUAAAGUAAAGCACUAUUUGAAUAAACCACACAAAGUUAUGUCUGAAAAUACAUGGAGGUGAAAGGAAUCAUGAAAUGUUUCUAUUUCUAUGUAAAUCAUCCACCCUUGUGACCCCCUGUGACUGAACCAAGAAGGAAAAUAUCUUUGAAAUGUUUCCAUAAGCCCCAAUAAGGCAUGACAUGAAUUAAAUGCCAGUUAUCCGGCAAUAAUUUUAGAAGAUGCUUCUCUGCAAUUUUCUAAGAAGUGAUAAUCCAACAAAUAAAAUGAAAAGCCAAUGUAAACAUAGUCUGCACAUAAGCCAAGGAGAGAUUCAGUGUACCUGAAUCUUACCACAAGAGACCUUCAGAUCUCCUUGUUAACAUAAAUAAAAGAAAAAUCCAAAUUGCACAUCAGAACUGUCACCACCACACUUGGCAAGCAAAAUUAACAUCAAAUAUAAACAAAUGCACCUUUUUAAUGAGGAAAUCACAGACAAUAACAAGGAUUGGGAAUCUUCAGGAAAUGCCUGCAAGUUUCAGCCACAUGCUAAGGGCUGCCAGCAGACAGCCAGCAUCAGGUCCUUGGAGAGCCCUAUGUAAAGAGCUGCAGAACGGCCCCGCCCAGAAGGAUGCUCAGGAUGGAGAAUACGGUGGCGCCUCCAUCACCGAUGCCCUCUCUCUGCUACCACAUGUUUUUAUUUCAGCUAAAUUGAAUAGUUCAUCCCUAACAAAUGCUUUAUAUAGAAAAAGCAACUCAAAGCUGGAGGAUACUCUUCAUAUUGUGUGCAGCAUAAUGGAUACUGAUCAAGAGAUAAAGAACAUUAAAAAAUAUUAAGGUAUCAUUUCAGCCUUUUGAUAUGUUAAUGAAAUCUAAUCAUACAAAAGUAGUGUUACAGAUAAAGAAAGCCUAAAUGUGUGUUUCUAACCAGUCAAUUAUUACUGGUUAUUUUUUAAAAUUACUGGACUAUAUUUACAUUUGUGUUAUAGUCUAUGUUCUGAGUGAUGUGCAACAUUAUUUUUCAAGAUUCUUUGUACCAAAGGCUCCCACACAUAGAUCAGCCCAUUUACACAUAAAUAAAGUCAACACUGUGCCCAAAUGAAUGGUAUUAAAGAGAGACUUGCCUAAGAGAAAUGUGCCUUGCUUACUUAAGCAUUCUUUUAUUUUUUACUUUAAAAUGAUAUUUAAAAUUAGGUUUAGGUUUUAGUGGACCUUAACUUUACAAAAAUAAAGUCGUACUUAGUAUAUGUUGAAGUUGUCUAUCUUGAUAAAAUGUUUAACAUUUAGUUAUACUUUUAAACAGUCAUGUGUCAUAUAUUAAUUCAACUUUAUUUUCAUGGGAUGUUCAUGGGUGAGACAAAGUACAUUCUUAAAGAUAUAUAGAUAUAUAGAUAUAAUAUUCCACCCGAUGUUUAUAACCUUUCCUGCAAAAGUAUAUGUGUAAAAGAUUCUUGGACUCAUUUUCUAUUUUUAUAUUCUUUAAGAAAUGGAACUCUUUUCCAAUUGAAAAAAGUAAACAAGCAGACUUUUAGUUGGGAAAGAGAUUUAGGAGGUCAUGAAGGUGGCUUCCCAUUUGGGGACAUUUCACUUCUGUGCCAUUACUAAUAUAUUGACUGUGACAUUUCAGCAGAACGGUAGCUAUUUGUAUAUUAUUUUGUAAGCCUUACAGGAAGUCAAACUGUGAACAUUUAGUAUACAGAAAACUUUUUUUCAUUUCCAUAUUUUAUUUUCAAAUAAACCUGAACAAAUGUGUAAAUAAUCUCCUGUUACUUAAAUGCAUAACAUAAUAAUGCUAAGUUACAAAAAGAGCACCUGUAGAAUUUUAAUUUCUGUCAAAAAGCCAAUAUUAGAAACUUUCAGAUGCCCUAUAAAAGGAAAUACAAAUGGUGAAUUUCAUUAAUCUAAAAGAACCAUUAAUUCAGCAACCAUUUACCUAGUAGCCACAAAGUAAAUGGUAGGAAAUACAAUCCAGAUAACUUUCUUGGAGGCAAGGUCUACAAUGAAUUGUUCACAUUCUUCUUUGUGGUCAAAAUUUGCAGAGUAAAUCAUUAUAGGAAAAAGUGAAAAAAAAAUGACAACAUUCAAAUUUGACUUAUGUGAACCUCCAUUCAGGAUUUGUCAAACUGGGUAUAGUAGCUCAAACACGUAAUCCUAGCUUCUUGGCAGGCAGGAUUCUGAAGGAUUGUGAUUUAAGGUCAGCCAGGGCAAAAAGUUCAUGAGCUGGAAACUAGAGGCUGGACACAAUGGCGCAUACCUGUCAUCUGACUUACAGGGAGAGCACACGGCCAAACACUGUAGCAUGUGCCCAGUUAUGCAAGGAAGCACAAAUAGAAGAAUCACAGUCUAGGCUGGCUUGGGCAUUAAGGAAGACCUUAUUUUAAAAUAACCAACACAAGAACUGAUGGAGUGGUUCAAGAGGUAGAGCACCUACCUAGCAAAUAUGAGGCCGUGAGUUCAAUCCCCAGUGUCACCAAAACAAAAGACAAAGAUGAUUUGUGAUGAAAAUGAAAAAGAUAGCCAUCCCUUUGUUUUCGUUCUGUGAUAGUCCAUGUAGUAGAGAUACUGGACUAGGAAAUAGUUCAUUACAGCUUUCUUGAACUAUUAUAACUGACCAUCACAGCCUGGUUAGCAGGAGCAGUCCUUAUCAGCUACAUGAAUGAUCACAACAAACUCACCAACUUCCAUGGAAGUUCUUCCAUGUCAGUGUUUCCUGAAAGAUCGGGUGAUGUUAUAAAACUAGACAUAAAAAACUACCUUAUCAGAACACCGAUGACAUAGCUUUAAGCAUUGUAGUAUUUAAGUGUCAAAUUAGCAUCAUUAUUGCAGGCUACCGUUUCAUGUAGAAAUAAAACAUGGGCUUAUACAAUCAAGCAAAGCACAGAAUACUAUCAGAAGAGUAAUCUACCAUGCCAAACACGUUUUCAUAUAAUAGGUAGUGAAAAUAGACUAGUUAACAGAAGACUGACAAUCGCAACCCACUUUCAGCCUGUGGUACCUCAGAUUGUUAAUUACUUUUUCUAAGUUUCAGUUUCUUCAAUUGCAAACCAAGUAUGCUGUAUUAAAUAAUCUCCAAAGUCCUUCCCAGUUCCCAAGCCCUUUUUUAUGUUUCUUUCUUUAAGGCUUUGAAGAAUUCUAAGUACAAAAAAAUUUUUUCUGAUGUAUUUUUAUGAAUAAAUUGAAAUAAGAUUUAAGCCUUCCAAUUGAUUAUGCAAGAAGGAAAUAAGAUUUUUUUCUCCUCUAAGAAUUUUUACUCAUCUAUAUGUAAUAGGAUCAUUUUAAAAGGUGGAAAAAUCACUCUACAGAAGGGAAAAUAGAUGAAUGAUAUAGCUCGAAAGGAAAGGAGAGUAUUUGGCAAAUUUAAUUAUAUGUUAAGGUGAUUUGCAAAUUGCAUGGGAGAUGCUAAUAGGGUGCCAGAGAUUUAUUGCACACUCAACAAUGUAUAGCUGAGAAUGCGGGAAGGUAGAGCAAUUGAAGUGUUUGCCUUAUGUUCUCUUCAUUCUUUUGUUUUCUAACCUAUGAGAACUUCUGCAGGUAUCUGCAGCUGUUGGUCUGUGCUGCCAGGCACUGUCAUGUGACUCACAAUGAUCCCGUUAGCUGCUCAGAACCCCAGUUUCUUUACCAGGAAGGUGAAAAAAGUUAAUUUCUUUAACUAUGUAUUUCUAGCAAAUACUAUGAGCUUUUUACACCUGUUUUACUGUGUUCAUAUAUACAUCUAUAUAGCAAAUACUAUGAGCUUUUUACACCUGUUUUACUGUGUUCAUAUAUACAUCUCCCUAAGAAGCCACACAGCUCUACUCAAAGCCAGACAUUGCCAUCUCCAACAUUGUGAAUGGAUAUCAGCAAGACAUUCAAAAAAAUUAAGCCUUAUUUUUAUUCUGGCCAUGGAUUAGCUAUAAUUUCAUCUCAUCUUUGAAUGCAGAGUUAAUUAAUUAAACAGAAUGUCUUCUCAAGUUACUCUUAAUUUUUGUAAUUUAAUACUCAAAUGCAUUGCAUUUAUCAAUGAACUAUGGCUGUCGGAAAGGUGCGUAUUUCUCUCAAACUUAAUGCCCUUUUGGUCCUAGAAGCAAUGACUGCAGUGUACAAUAAUGUACAUAAAAUUUUGUGAAUUUUUAAGUACAAAGGAGGCCUGUUCGAGCCAUAUUGUCAUUGAUUUUGCUCAGGAGUGAGGAAUCAAAUUCAGGGAUACACCAAACAUUUUUGUUUGGCAUUAGUGGAUAAUUGGUAAUUGAUGGGUUAUAUCUUUUGCACAGCAAAGUUAACGGGUGACUGUACCAAUUGGAAAGCAAGAGUUUAUUCUUGUGGCUGGUUUUUAUGGUAGAAAGAGAUUAAGGCUAGAAGAGUGCUAGAAUUUGGACACUAGAAAAGCUGUCAAAAUGAUAGCAGUCCAUUUGAAUAAUACAGAAAUAUUUUGUCAUACCAAGAUUAUUUGUCCAGAGGUUUAGUCUUAUAUCCUUAUCAUUCAGAAAAGAGGGGGCGCAGUUUUUAAAGGCCUCUGUCAUAAUAGGAAAUGUAUAUUUUGACUAGUUAAACAUUUAAUGUGGUCAUUUUGGAUUUUGUGAAUCUGAAUUUUCACUUUAGAUGUAAUCGAGUCUGUCGUGUGCAUAUUAGGGUUAGUGAUGUUCGUGAGAAGUGAUUUCAAUUCAUUUUGUGUAAAGUCAGUGAAAUUUUGCUAAGUGGUAAUUCUAGUGUAUUGUGUGAUGGUAUAUCUGACAACCGUUUGUGAACUGCCCUUACAAACCAUAGUAGUAUCUCUUGUGGUAAGUUGUUUCUGUGGUGUGAUCAUAAUGGUUAGUGGGGGGUGGGGGAGGUUAAGUAUUUAGUUUACUUAAAACUGUUGAAAUGUUUUUCUUAAAUACCAUAACAUUGUGUGAAUAGAAACCAAAUAAGAAUAUCCACUUUUUUCAAUUUUUAAGGACACUGUAUAGACCAUUUUGGGAAUGGCCCAUAAAAUGGUGUCAUUUAUGUUAAAAAGCUCCCAUACAUAAAAAUAUAUAUGUAUACAUAACAUAUGUAUGUGUAUACAUAUGUAUACAUAUACAUAUAUAUGUAUGUGUAUAUAUAUAUGUGCACAUACAAUACACACAAGGGAAAGCAAACAGUAAAUAUAUUAAGUGUUUCAUGAAUAUUUUUUGAAAUGUUUACCAAUGAUAAUUAUACACAGGUCAGAGUUACAAAAAAACAAUCCACUGAAGUUUUUCAGCAAGUUUCCUAUGUGUUUAUUUACAUUCAUCUCAUAAUUUGCAAGGAUCAUGAACGUACUCUACUUUAUCUCUAAGACACCAUCCACAUGGGGUACUAAUACCAUCUGAAGUUUAGAAAUUGAGCAAUAAAGGUUUGAAACAAUCAAAUGACUUCUCCAAAAUUCUUUGACUAAUAAGUGACUCUAGGAAGUCGCUAUCUAUGUAGUUCAGAUGAUACAAUGUCAAUGGUGAAAAAGCCAAGAAGAGUGAAAGCUCCUGAGUUCAAGCCCCUAUACGGGUACCAAAAUUCUUUUUAAAAAGUAGUUCUGAAGCUCAUGUUCUUUAUCCUCUGACAUGAUUUCUUUUAAGCCUGUCAUUGCCAUUAUAUUUAAAACUUGGACCAAAAUAUAUUUUAAAGAUGCAAUGGAAAUUUUCAAGUUUUAGUGGAAAGGUAUUAUUGCUAUUGUAAAGUCAGACCUCUUUAGGUGCUUCACAGUUUUUGUCCUCCUUCUGGUAAUAUCCAGAUGUUGUCCACCUAAAACAGAUUAAGUCCACACAUCUGACUACAGACACUCACUUCGCAUAAUGUCAACAUGCUGAAAAAUGGUCUUCCCUGACCUUUCUCAUUUAUUCGUUAAAAUGAUCACAAUAGACAGAGACAGAACCACGAGGCGUUCUCUCUAAAGAAACCUCAUUUCCUAUAAAUACACAAAAAUAACUGGUUUUCAUUAAAUAACAGCAUUAUUAACAUUAGUCAUAGUUCAAAUAUUUGGCAAACUUCCCCCCACGUAUUUCAAAAUGCAUCUAAGGAUUUCCCCAGAUCAAAUUACAAUCUAAUAACUGCUCAAUUUGACUAUGGAGCAGAUUCCUGCACUGAUUUCUAACAAAUGCUACAUUUUAUUCUUCCUUAAACAACAGAUAGACACUGUUACUGCUUUCCCUUGUAAGUCAACAGUCUGUGAUACAUUCUGUACUUUUACUGACUAGCAAUGCAAUGUUACUGUGAAUAUUUAAAUGAAACCUGUACUUAUUAUAUCAGAAUUUUAAAUUUUCUAACAUUGAAUUUUGUUCUCCUCAAAUAGGUAAGUCAAACAAGUAUUAUUUUGUAUUGAAUGAAGUAAUCAUUGUUCUUAAUGAUAAUAAUAAAUAAUGGAAUUCUGAAUAUGAUGUAAAAAUCACAUAUUUUACAUAUUCAUUUUUGCCUUUGAGUUAUGUUAACUUAUCACAUAGUAAUGUAAAGUUAAAAUGAACUCUGUAUCAUGUUCUCUGAUGUCCUUGUCAUAAUAAUUUUGGCCUUCUGUUAAGUAAAUACCAGUAAAUAUCUGUGAGUUUUGAUGAUGUGACUUUUUAUCUGAUCCAUUUUUAAAAUUUUGUUGUUGGAUUUAAAGUGUUUUCAUUGCAAAUGUUAUGUGCAAAAUUCAAUAAAAGACCAAGAAAAUUCCUGUUACUCAUGUUGAUAGUU